rnacentral:rRNA from 1 species
UACGUAGGGGGCAAGCGUUGUCCGGAUUUAUUGGGCGUAAAGAGCGUGUAGGCGGUUAGGUAGGUCCGUUGUGAAAACUCGAGGCUCAACCUCGAGACGCCGAUGGAAACCAUCUAACUAGAGUCCGGAAGAGGAGAAUGGAAUUCCUGGUGUAGCGGUGAAAUGCGCAGAUAUCAGGAAGAACACCCGUGGCUAAGGCGGUUCUCUAGUACGGUACUGACGCUGGGACGCGAAAGCGUGGGGAGCGAACAGG